rnacentral:rRNA from 1 species
UACAGAGGUCUCAAGCGUUGUUCGGAUUCAUUGGGCGUAAAGCGCGUGUAGGCGGCCCGGUAAGUCCGCUGUGAAAGUCGGGGGCUCAACCCUCGAAAGCCGGUGGAUACUGUCGGGCUCGAGUGCGGAAGAGGCGAGUGGAAUUCCUGGUGUAGCGGUGAAAUGCGCAGAUAUCAGGAGGAACACCGAUUGCGAAGGCAGCUCGCUGGGACGUUACUGACGCUGAGACGCGAAAGCGUGGGGAGCAAACAGG